rnacentral:rRNA from 1 species
GACGAACCGUGCGAACGUUAUUCGGAAUCACUGGGCUUAAAGCGCGUGUAGGCGGGGCGGCACGUCGGUCGCUGAAAGCCCCCCGGCUCAACCGGGGAACGGGCGCCGAUACGACCGCCCUCGAGGGACGUAGGGGGACCUGGAACUUCCGGUGGAGCGGUGAAAUGCGUUGAGAUCGGAAGGAACGCCCGUGGCGAAAGCGAGGUCCUGGGACGUCUGCUGACGCGUGAGACGCGAAAGCCAGGGGAGCGAACGGG